rnacentral:rRNA from 1 species
CGUAGACUCCUACGGGAGGCAGCAGUGGGGAAUAUUGCACAAUGGGCGCAAGCCUGAUGCAGCCAUGCCGCGUGUAUGAAGAAGGCCUUCGGGUUGUAAAGUACUUUCAGCAGUGAGGAAGGUGGAUAUGUUAAUAGCAUAUUCAUUUGACGUUAGCUGCAGAAGAAGCACCGGCUAACUCCGUGCCAGCAGCCGCGGUAAUACGGAGGGUGCGAGCGUUAUCCGGAUUUAUUGGGUUUAAAGGGUCCGUAGGCGGAUUAAUAAGUCAGUGGUGAAAUCCCAUCGCUUAACGAUGGAACUGCCAUUGAUACUGUUAGUCUUGAAUGAGGGUGCAGUGGUUGGAAUGUGUAGUGUAGCGGUGAAAUGCAUAGAUAUUACACAGAACACCGAUUGCGAAGGCAGAUCACUAACCCUAAAUUGACGCUGAGGGACGAAAGCGUGGGGAGCGAACAGGAUUAGAUACCCUGGUAG